rnacentral:rRNA from 1 species
AUGCUACCGGGCGACCGGAUGCGGAUCUCGAAAGCCUGUCCCAGUUCGGACUGGAGUCUGCAACCCGACUCCACGAAGUUGGAUUCGCUAGUAAUCGCGCAUCAGCCAUGGCGCGGUGAAUACGUUCCCGGGCCUUGUACACACCGCCCGUCAAGCCAUGGGAGCCGGGGGCGCCUGAAGUCCGGGACCGCGAGGACCGGCCAAGGGCGAAACUGGUAACUGGGGCUAAGUCGUAACAAGGUACC